rnacentral:rRNA from 1 species
GUUGACCUCGGAUCAGGUAGGGAUACCCGCUGAACUUAAGCAUAUAUA